CAUCUGCAAAAGGACACAUUUACGUAAAUAAUUAUUUACUGUGGAAAUAGUCGCUGUAUUUUUAAGGUUUUGAUGGAGACUUCUAACUCACUCACUCCUUAAAAACAAAAAGUAGUGUGAAUUGAAAAGGAAACAAAACAAAACUAUAAAGAUCAGCUUAUUUAUUUAUACUUAUUUGUGCUGGAGGAAAAACAUCACUGCAGGCCAAUUCCUGUGUUGACAUUAGCAGAAGUUGUGAGUAUUCAGCACAUCAGUCAGACAGCAGUUGUGAUGUUCAAAACUGAGUAUCCAGCAUAAAGCUGUACAGCACCAUCACCUAGGAUUUGUCUUCACUAUUUAGAAGAUUGUUUUUACUAAUAGAUAACCAGCAUACACAAGGAACCCAGGAGGAAAAAAACACCAUGGAAGCUUACUCUCCCUGUGCAGCAAAAAAUAAGCAAAUCAGUGCAUAAUGCCUGCUGCUGGAUAACGUCAUCAUGCAGCUUACAUGUUGUUUUUGUGUUUUUACCUCAGGGCAGCUCACAUCCAACACUGAGUACAAGAUUGGGGAAAAAAAAUAAUUUUUGGCUAACCGUAUUGAUAAGUCUCUCAAAAGCUGUUAGAGGUGUGACUUGCAUAAGGCACUGUGUUAGCAUUUGCCCUGAUUUCAUGAGUCUUCUCUUGAUAGAUCAAUACCAGUGACAGUGUUUCAACCAUACCAGGCACCCUUAAGCAUCAAAGCAACAUCCAAGUGGCUAAAAUCCUUUAACAUCAAACGCAGGCCAGUCAGAUCAAAAAAAAGCUUGUGAGGAAGAAUGCUGCCAAGCCACGUACAAGGUAAGCCUCGCUGCAGCCCUCUGAAAGCACGGCCUGCAGAGCAGCAGGCCCGGAUAACUGGCAGCAGGUCCGUGUCAGCGUUCCUCACUGCAUUUAACGAGCAACUGUCUACGAGGGGACCCUUUGGCAGGAAGUGGGCUUGAAGGAGGAAGCACUUAAACCCUUACCCACGAACAAGUCCCAGAAUUUCUUUAAUGUUUUACAGCUGAGAAUCAGCAUUUGGUGAUAAUUAGAAGAAAAGCAACAUGUGCUUGACAAUUAGUAAUGCCUGAGAGUUAACUCUCCCUCUGCUGAAGGGGACGCAAAGUGCUACAGGUCACUCAUCUGGUGGACAAACUAUCACAUGCCAGGUGCAUUUGGUCACAGUGAGGUGUUUUUUGAAGAUCCACAAUCUUUUCAGUUUCACUGAUUAGGGGAGACUGGGUCAGAGACGUCUGUUCUAAACGAGCCAUUAAUCCAAUCAGAGGUGUGACUGCCUUAAAUUACAUUAAAGCCCUCACACAGACAAGGUGCAAAGGAUAUAUUCCAAAGUUGCCUCCUUGAGCUGCCAGCCAGGACUUGGCAGGUGGCUAAUCGAUACCCACAGAGCUCCACGCCAGCCCCAGCACGAGGUGCUUCUUGCCCAAGGAGCACAGCAGCAAGCUGGGCACCACGGGGAAAUAGUAAAGGAAGGCUCAAGGGGAAACAUGAGAGAAAACAGAAGUGCUGUGAGGAAGUUAGAGAACAUGGGGGGAACAAGAAGACUGCGUGGGAGGCUGGUGAAAUGGGGAGGAUCUCUGGAUUUUGUGGGAAAGAAUGACAAAGAAAGGAAGUGAAAGAACUGUGGUAGGGAGAGGGGGUCACUGCAGAGACACAGGGGGCCUGAUGUGGCACUGGAGACAUGGAAGUACACAAAUGAACUUCACAUGUUCUGCUGCACACAGAGCCCCUCUUAGGCUACAUCUAUGUUCCAGCAGGGAAAUAUCAGUUGAACUAAAAAAGAAAUGAAGGUACAGUGAAGCUGCCAGUACGUUUAUGCCUUCCCCAGAGGAUGUUCAUGGAAAGCCAGGUCCAGGCGGAAGAGGAAGCGCUGUUCCCAGUCGAGGUGUUUCCUGAGCGGAGGGGAAGAGCUUGUACUUCCAUGCUGCAAGACAACAGCUUGGAGUCAGCCCACCUGAAGACCUGUCCAGGCUCUUGAUGCAGUCUGCUCGCUGCCCAACUCUGCAGAUGUUGAACAUUUCCCCUGCACCAUGCAUGCAU